rnacentral:rRNA from 1 species
GUGCAGCAGGCGAGAAAACUCCGCAAUACACGAAAGUGUGACGGGGCCAUCCCGAGUGCCGUCCGCUGAGGACGGCUUUUCCCCAGUGUACACAGCUGGGGGAAUAAGGAGAGGGCAAGCCUGGUGUCAGCCGCCGCGGUAAUACCAGCUCUCCGAGUGGUGGGGACGCUUAUUGGGCCUAAAGCAUCCGUAGCCGGCUGGGCAAGUUCUCCGUUAAAUCCAACGAUUCAAUCGUUGGGCUGCGGGGGAUACUGUCCAGCUUGGGGGUGGGAGAGGCCGACGGUAUUCCCGGGGUAGGGGUGAGAUCCUAUAAUCCCGGGAGGACCACCAGUGGCGAAGGCUGUCGGCUAGAACGCGCCCGACGGUGAGGGAUGAAAGCU